UAUAAUGCGAGUCGAGCGAGCUGAUUAGAAGCUUGCUUCUAUGACGUUAGCGGCGGACGGGUGAGUAACACGUGGGCAACCUGCCUGUAAGACUGGGAUAACUCCGGGAAACCGGAGCUAAUACCGGAUAACAUUUUCUCUUGCAUAAGAGAAAAUUGAAAGAUGGUUUCGGCUAUCACUUACAGAUGGGCCCGCGGUGCAUUAGCUAGUUGGUGAGGUAACGGCUCACCAAGGCAACGAUGCAUAGCCGACCUGAGAGGGUGAUCGGCCACACUGGGACUGAGACACGGCCCAGACUCCUACGGGAGGCAGCAGUAGGGAAUCUUCCGCAAUGGACGAAAGUCUGACGGAGCAACGCCGCGUGAGUGAUGAAGGCUUUCGGGUCGUAAAACUCUGUUGUUAGGGAAGAACAAGUACAAGAGUAACUGCUUGUACCUUGACGGUACCUAACCAGAAAGCCACGGCUAACUACGUGCCAGCAGCCGCGGUAAUACGUAGGUGGCAAGCGUUAUCCGGAAUUAUUGGGCGUAAAGCGCGCGCAGGCGGUUUCUUAAGUCUGAUGUGAAAGCCCACGGCUCAACCGUGGAGGGUCAUUGGAAACUGGGGAACUUGAGUGCAGAAGAGAAAAGCGGAAUUCCACGUGUAGCGGUGAAAUGCGUAGAGAUGUGGAGGAACACCAGUGGCGAAGGCGGCUUUUUGGUCUGUAACUGACGCUGAGGCGCGAAAGCGUGGGGAGCAAACAGGAUUAGAUACCCUGGUAGUCCACGCCGUACACGAUGAGUGCUAAGUGUUAGAGGGUUUCCGCCCUUUAGUGCUGCAGCUAACGCAUUAAGCACUCCGCCUGGGGAGUACGGUCGCAAGACUGAAACUCAAAGGAAUUGACGGGGGCCCGCACAAGCGGUGGAGCAUGUGGUUUAAUUCGAAGCCACGCGAAGAACCUUACCAGGUCUUGACAUCCUCUGACAACUCUAGAGAUAGAGCGUUCCCCUUCGGGGGACAGAGUGACAGGCGGUGCAUGGUUGUCGUCAGC
rnacentral:rRNA from 1 species